GGUUGGUCCAAGUGCAGUGGCAUUAACAACUAAUUGAUCAUAACCAGUUGCAGAUUCCUUUGUUCCUUCUCCACUUCCACUGCUUCACUUGACCAGCCUUUA
rnacentral:Y_RNA from 1 species